rnacentral:tRNA from 1 species
GGGCGUAUUGUAUAGUGGUUAUUACGCCGCACUUACACUGCGGAGAUCUCCUGUUCAAACCAGGAUACGCCCA